rnacentral:rRNA from 1 species
GACGAACGCUGGCGGCGUGCCUAAUACAUGCAAGUAGAACGCUGAAGGAGGAGCUUGCUUCUCUGGAUGAGUUGCGAACGGGUGAGUAACGCGUAGGUAACCUGCCUGGUAGCGGGGGAUAACUAUUGGAAACGAUAGCUAAUACCGCAUAAGAGUAGAUGUUGCAUGACAUUUGCUUAAAAGGUGCAAUUGCAUCACUACCAGAUGGACCUGCGUUGUAUUAGCUAGUUGGUGAGGUAACGGCUCACCAAGGCAACGAUACAUAGCCGACCUGAGAGGGUGAUCGGCCACACUGGGACUGAGACACGGCCCAGACUCCUACGGGAGGCAGCAGUAGGGAAUCUUCGGCAAUGGACGGAAGUCUGACCGAGCAACGCCGCGUGAGUGAAGAAGGUUUUCGGAUCGUAAAGCUCUGUUGUAAGAGAAGAACGAGUGUGAGAGUGGAAAGUUCACGCU